CCCAGACUCCUACGGGAGGCAGCAGUGGGGGAUAUUGCACAAUGGGGGAAACCCUGAUGCAGCGACGCCGCGUGGGCGAAGAAGUAUUUCGGUAUGUAAAGCCCUAUCAGCAGGGAAGAAGAAAUGACGGUACCUGAGUAAGAAGCACCGGCUAAAUACGUGCCAGCAGCCGCGGUAAUACGUAGGGGGCAAGCGUUAUCCGGAUUUACUGGGUGUAAAGGGGGCGCAGACGGCGAUGCAAGCCAGGAGUGAAAGCCCGGGGCCCAACCCCGGGACUGCUCUUGGAACUGCGUGGCUGGAGUGCAGGAGGGGCAGGCGGAAUUCCUGGUGUAGCGGUGAAAUGCGUAGAUAUCAGGAGGAACACCGGGGGCGAAGGCGGAUUGCUGGACAGUAACUGACGCUGAGGCGCGAAAGCGUGGGGAGCAAACAGGAUUAGAUACCCCUGUA
rnacentral:rRNA from 1 species